rnacentral:rRNA from 1 species
UACGGAGGGUGCAAGCGUUAUCCGGAUUCACUGGGUUAAAGGGUGCGUAGGUGGGCAGGUAAGUCAGUGGUGAAAUCUCUGGGCUUAACUCAGAACUGCCAUUGAUACUAUCUGUCUUGAAUACCGUGGAGGUCAGCGGAAUAUGUCAUGUAGCGGUGAAAUGCUUAGAUAUGACAUAGAACACCAAUUGCGAAGGCAGCUGGCUACACGAAUAUUGACACUGAUGCACGAAAGCGUGGGGAUCAAACAGG